UACAGUGAAACCAGAUGCAUCAUGGGUUUGAAGAGACCCUACAAUAGGUUUUGGCUAGUACACCAACCCCAAACCCAUGAAUCUAUGAGCCCAUUCUAGCAUUAAACCAUGUAGACUGACACCUAGGAUUUCAAGUGGCCAAAACGCUAAAUGCUUAUUUACUGACUACAAGGUUCUUUCCUGGGAC